AUGGCAGCGAGAGCCAUGUCCGGCGGCAGCAUCCUCCUGGCCGCGGCGUUGGCAGCGGCCCUGCUGGUGGCGUCGGCAUCGGCGCAGUCCGGGUGCACGGCGGCGCUGGUCGGCCUGUACCCGUGCUUGAACUACAUCAGCGGCAACGACACGGCGCCCACCAAGUCCUGCUGCUCGCAGCUCGGCUCCGUGGUGCAGUCCCAGCCGCAGUGCCUCUGCAGCGCGCUCGGUGGGGACUCGUCCUCGCUGGGCGGCAUGACCAUCAACAAGACGCGCGCGCUCGAGCUCCCCAAGGCGUGCAACGUGCAGACCCCGCCCGCGAGCAGGUGCAACGGCGGUGGCACUGCUCCUGGCGCCGCCACGCCGACCACGCCCGAGGUGCAGACACCGGCAAGCUCUGGAUCCAAGACGACCCCGUCGGCGUACCUGCAGGAGAACGGCGGCUCGUCGCUCCAGGGCACGGUGGGCCUGGUGUUCGCGCUCGCGGCUGCUGCGUUCUACGCCGUGUCGGCCGUGUAGUGA
rnacentral:rRNA from 1 species